rnacentral:rRNA from 1 species
CCUACGGGAGGCAGCAGUGAGGAAUAUUGGUCAAUGGGCGAGAGCCUGAACCAGCCAAGUAGCGUGCAGGAAGACGGCCCUAUGGGUUGUAAACUGCUUUUAUACGGGGAUAAAGUGAGGGACGUGUCCCUUAUUGUAGGUACCGUAUGAAUAAGGACCGGCUAAUUCCGUGCCAGCAGCCGCGGUAAU